UGACGCUGACCAGCCUGUAGUUCCCUAGAUCCUUCUUCUUGCCUUUCUUGAAGGUAGGGGUGACAUUUGCUUUCUUUCAAUCCUCAGGAACCUCUCCCGAUCGCCACAACCUUUCAAAGAUAAUCAAGAAUGGCCUUGCAGUGCACUGACCGGUCUUGAUAGAGCUGUGUAGUUAUCUGCUAGCCACUGUGGCUUCCACAUGCGCCCGCUGCCAGCCCCACUGUCCUGUCACCACCACAGCCAGAAUGACGCAUGGGAUUCUGGAUGGCGUCUGCUACUCACCUCUACGCUGACAUUGGAAGAAUCAGCUUUUUUCCAGCUAACGAGCCUUCUCAAGAUGUCCCCUGUGUCCUCCUUCCCCACCAGAAGAAAACCAAAUCGUGGACUGUGUCUUUCCACCCUUGUACAGGCUACAGAACGGGAUGAGCUGCCACAAUACCCUUAUCUCAAAGACCAGUCUGCUGAGAAUUUGACAGUAGAGGAUUUUCGCAGCUGAGAUUCUCCACACAGGAGAUGGAACAAUGGGGGAAGCAACAAAAAGCUAAUUCUAAAACUGACUUUAAUCAAGAGAAAGGCUAAAAAGCUCCAGUCAUUAAAGUCAAAAUAUUAAGAAGCAUUCCCAAAGGAUACAUUUAAUUUCUGAUUCACAACAAGACUAAAGUACCAUUUAACCUAUGAGUAUACGUGAGACGUAAAUGAUACACAGUAGGAACUCUUUCCAAAGAGAUACAAAGCUCUAAAACUUGCAGCAUGAAUUGAAUGGUACAUGAAGACAUUUAUAUUUUUGAGGUAAACCUAUUAUUGGUGUUCUCUCUACCUUACUUUUAAAGAUGCAGAAUCAAU
rnacentral:lncRNA from 1 species